UACGUAGGGUGCAAGCGUUGUCCGGAAUUAUUGGGCGUAAAGAGCUCGUAGGCGGUUUGUCGCGUCUGCUGUGAAAAUCCAGGGCUUAACCCUGGACCUGCAGUGGGUACGGGCAGACUAGAGUGCGGUAGGGGAGAUCGGAAUUCCUGGUGUAGCGGUGAAAUGCGUAGAGAUCAGGAAGAACACCGGUGGCGAAAGCGUUCUGCUAGACCUGUACUGACACUGAGGGACGAAAGCUAGGGGAGCGAAUGGG
rnacentral:rRNA from 1 species